UAGAACCUGAUAGAGGCUAUUGAUAUUAGA
rnacentral:piRNA from 1 species